rnacentral:rRNA from 1 species
UUGAACGCUGGCGGCAGGCCUAACACACGCAAGUCGAGCGGAUGAAGGGAGCUUGCUCCUGGAUUCAGCGGCGGACGGGUGAGUAAUGCCUAGGAAUCUGCCUGGUAGUGGGGGAUAACGUCCGGAAACGGGCGCUAAUACCGCAUACGUCCUGAGGGAGAAAGUGGGGGAUCUUCGGACCUCACGCUAUCAGAUGAGCCUAGGUCGGAUUAGCUAGUUGGUGGGGUAAAGGCCUACCAAGGCGACGAUCCGUAACUGGUCUGAGAGGAUGAUCAGUCACACUGGAACUGAGACACGGUCCAGACUCCUACGGGAGGCAGCAGUGGGGAAUAUUGGACAAUGGGCGAAAGCCUGAUCCAGCCAUGCCGCGUGUGUGAAGAAGGUCUUCGGAUUGUAAAGCACUUUAAGUUGGGAGGAAGGGCAGUAAGUUAAUACCUUGCUGUUUUGACGUUACCAACAGAAUAAGCACCGGCUAACUUCGUG